GAUGAACGCUAGCGGCAGGCUUAACACAUGCAAGUCGAGGGGUGGGGAAAGCUUGCUUUUCUGAGACCGGCGCACGGGUGCGUAACGCGUAUGCAAUCUACCUUUCACAGAGGGAUAGCCCAGAGAAAUUUGGAUUAAUACCUCAUAGUAUUAUAGAAUGGCAUCAUUUUAUAAUUAAAGAUUUAUCGGUGAAAGAUGAGCAUGCGUCCCAUUAGCUAGUUGGUAUGGUAACGGCAUACCAAGGCAACGAUGGGUAGGGGUCCUGAGAGGGAGAUCCCCCACACUGGUACUGAGACACGGACCAGACUCCUACGGGAGGCAGCAGUGAGGAAUAUUGGACAAUGGGCGCAAGCCUGAUCCAGCCAUGCCGCGUGCAGGAUGACGGUCCUAUGGAUUGUAAACUGCUUUUAUACAGGAAGAAACACCUCUACGUGUAGAGACUUGACGGUACUGUAAGAAUAAGGAUCGGCUAACUCCGUGCCAGCAGCCGCGGUAAUACGGAGGAUCCAAGCGUUAUCCGGAAUCAUUGGGUUUAAAGGGUCCGUAGGCGGUCAGGUAAGUCAGUGGUGAAAGCCCAUCGCUCAACGGUGGAACGGCCAUUGAUACUGUCUGACUUGAAUUAUUAGGAAGUAACUAGAAUAUGUAGUGUAGCGGUGAAAUGCUUAGAGAUUACAUGGAAUACCAAUUGCGAAGGCAGGUUACUACUAAUUGAUUGACGCUGAUGGACGAAAGCGUGGGUAGCGAACAGGAUUAGAUACCCUGGUAGUCCACGCCGUAAACGAUGGAUACUAGCUGUUGGGAGCAAUCUCAGUGGCUAAGCGAAAGUGAUAAGUAUCCCACCUGGGGAGUACGAACGCAAGUUUGAAACUCAAAGGAAUUGACGGGGGCCCGCACAAGCGGUGGAGCAUGUGGUUUAAUUCGAUGAUACGCGAGGAACCUUACCAAGGCUUAAAUGUAGAUUGAC
rnacentral:rRNA from 1 species